UUAUUUUCUAUGUUCCAUGUUCUGUGUUCAAGGCUGGCUGCCAGCAGUGGACUGGAAUUGCUGGGGCUCCACAUCAGUGCUACAGAGAGGCAGAUGAACUGCAACAAUAGUCUCUUCCCAGGAG